UACGGAGGGAGCUAGCGUUGUUCGGAAUUACUGGGCGUAAAGCGCACGUAGGCGGCUUUGUAAGUUAGAGGUGAAAGCCCGGAGCUCAACUCCGGAACUGCCAUUGAAACUGUGAAACUUGAGGAUGAGAGAGGUGAGUGGAAUUCCCAGUGUAGAGGUGAAAUUCGUAGAUAUUGGGAAGAACACCGGUGGCGAAGGCGGCUCACUGGCUCAUUUCUGACGCUCAGGCGCGACAGCGUGGGGAUCAAACAGG
rnacentral:rRNA from 1 species